rnacentral:tRNA from 1 species
UGCAAAGUGGUGUAUGGUGCACGAGAAAGUUUGAGUUUCUAGGGGUUGAUUUAGAGUUAUCCUUUGUAA